rnacentral:rRNA from 1 species
GACGAACGCUGGCGGCGUGCUUAACACAUGCAGGUCGAACGGAAAGGCCCUGCUUUUGUGGGGUGCUCGAGUGGCGAACGGGUGAGUAGCACGUGAGUAACCUGCCCUUGACUUUGGGAUAACUUCAGGAAACUGGGGCUAAUACCGGAUAGGAGCUCCUGCUGCAUGGUGGGGGUUGGAAAGUUUCGGCGGUUGGGGAUGGACUCGCGGCUUAUCAGCUUGUUGGUGGGGUAGUGGCUUACCAAGGCUUUGACGGGUAGCCGGCCUGAGAGGGUGACCGGCCACAUUGGGACUGAGAUACGGCCCAGACUCCUACGGGAGGCAGCAGUGGGGAAUAUUGCACAAUGGGCGGAAGCCUGAUGCAGCAACGCCGCGUGCGGGAUGACGGCCUUCGGGUUGUAAACCGCUUUCGCCUGUGACGAAGCGUGAGUGACGGUAAUGGGUAAAGAAGCACCGGCUAACUACGUG